rnacentral:piRNA from 1 species
AUGGAGUAAAUGUGGCAGAUUUGG